rnacentral:lncRNA from 1 species
CGACACGAUCGGGAAGUAAACGAGAAAUCUGAGUUCGUGUGUGUCCCCGCCCGGGCGGCGCAGCCUGAGAGAAACUCGGCGCCUCACUUCACCUUGCUUUGUGCACUACAUAUUUGGGCAAGUCUGAGGAAAUGGAGGGGUGGAAAAACCUUGCGUGGACGGCUAGGAAGCGAAGGACUGAAUAGAGUCAUUACAAACAAUGGAAGCAGCCAUAACAAUNGGGGAGACGCUGUGGUGCAAACCUGCCUUUCCUUCUUCCUGUGCAGGCAGGCACAGUGAGGUUACAAGAGUGUCUGUGUGGACUUUCCAGGGUUUGAAAACUGCUUAAAUCUGCAGCUCUGCCCCUCAUAAACUGAUCAGAUCAGACGCCAAGGCGAGAACAAGGCUUCCGAAUUUUUGACAGAUCUAUAGAGGCGAAAGUUUUAGCUAAUGCCAACUUUUAAAUCUUCUUUGCACGGAUGUUACUUUUCCUGUUCAGCUGUUGAAGGUGUAGGAUUCAUUUGUGUGUGAACCGCUUAUGCUCGUGAGUUUCUCAUCAGCCAUGGCUAUGAAAGAGCAUCUGCGGAUUAAAGAACACCACCGUCGUCCCAUUUCAGCUCUUGGGUAUCAUACAGCACGAAGAGAAUGUGUCACUGGCUUUGAAGAUGGAGCAAUCAAAUGGUGGGACACAGAGAGUGGGCAUGUGUCACUGCAUGCUAAAGAGCAUGCUGGCCGAGUCACUCACUUUCUUUCCUGGACACAGAAAAGGCUCUUCUUCUCUGCUUCCAACGACAGUUCUGUGCUUGUGUGGUCUGCAGGCGGCACUGUUCUUGACCGUGUCUUGCUACACCAUCCUAUAUUCACCCUGGCAAUCAGUUUGGCUCGCCAUCUCCUGCUUUGUGGCAGUAAGGGACGCCUGGUGGCUUUCCCCUUGGAUCAAAAGAGGGAAUCUGGGCAUGUGAUCAACACAACCCAGGGUUUUUCUGAACAGACNCACAAAGACAUUGUGUCCUGCAUUACUUGCUUAGGCAGCCAAAUAUACACAACAGGGUAUGACAAGAUGCUGCUGAUCUUUGACACUUAUCAAACUCCAGGCCGGAAAAGUCUGACAAUCAAGCACUGCAUCCCACGUGCCCACAGUGCAGCUAUCACACAUUUGCUGCUUGUGCGCCAGCAAGAAACCACAAGUCUCCUUGGCAGCCUGAGAUGUCAGCACAAAUAA